GACAGAGGAUGCAAGCGUUUAUCCGGAAUGAUUGGGCGUAAAGCGUCUGUAGGUGGCUUUUUAAGUCCGCCGUCAAAUCCCAGGGCUCAACCCUGGACAGGCGGUGGAAACUACCAAGCUGGAGUACGGUAGGGGCAGAGGGAAUUUCCGGUGGAGCGGUGGAAUGCGUAGAGAUCCGGAAGAACACCGGUGGCGAAGGCGGUCUGCUGGGGUGAGGCUGACGCUGAUGCGCGACAGCGUGGGGAGCAAACAGGG
rnacentral:rRNA from 1 species